rnacentral:rRNA from 1 species
CAGUCGCCACGGGAAUACGUAGGGUGCGAGCGUUAAUCGGGAUUACUGGGCGUAAAGCGUGCGCAGGCGGUUUUGUAAGACAGGCGUGAAAUCCCCGGGCUCAACCUGGGAAUGGCGCUUGUGACUGCAAAGCUAGAGUGCGGCAGAGGGGGAUGGAAUUCCGCGUGUAGCAGUGAAAUGCGUAGAUAUGCGGAGGAACACCGAUGGCGAAGGCAAUCCCCUGGGCCUGCACUGACGCUCAUGCACGAAAGCGUGGGGAGCAAACAGGAUUAGAUACCCGUGUAGUCCCUGUCUCUUAUAC